AUUGAACGCUGGCGGCAUGCUUUACACAUGCAAGUCGAACGGUAACAGGUUAAGCUGACGAGUGGCGAACGGGUGAGUAAUGCAUCGGAACGUGCCCGAUCGUGGGGGAUAACGCAGCGAAAGCUGCGCUAAUACCGCAUACGAUCUGAGGAUGAAAGCGGGGGACCGUAAGGCCUCGCGCGAUCGGAGCGGCCGAUGUCAGAUUAGGUAGUUGGUGGGGUAAAGGCUCACCAAGCCGACGAUCUGUAGCUGGUCUGAGAGGACGACCAGCCACACGGGGACUGAGACACGGCCCAGACUCCUACGGGAGGCAGCAGUGGGGAAUUUUGGACAAUGGGCGCAAGCCUGAUCCAGCAAUGCCGCGUGCAGGAAGAAGGCCUUCGGGUUGUAAACUGCUUUUGUACGGAGCGAAAAGGCUCUCUCUAAUACAGGGGGCUCAUGACGGUACCGUAAGAAUAAGCACCGGCUAACUACGUGCCAGCCGCCGCGGUAA
rnacentral:rRNA from 1 species